GACGAACGCUGGCGGCGUGCUUUAACACAUGCAAGUCGAACGAAGAGCGAUGGAAGCUUGCUUCUAUCAAUCUUAGUGGCGAACGGGUGAGUAACGCGUAAUCAACCUGCCCUUCAGAGGGGGACAACAGUUGGAAACGACUGCUAAUACCGCAUACGAUCUAACUCGGCAUCGAGGAUAGAUGAAAGGUGGCCUCUACAUUAAGCUAUCACUGAAGGAGGGGAUUGCGUCUGAUUAGCUAGUUGGAGGGGUAACGGCCCACAAGGCGAUGAUCAGUAGCCGGUCUGAGAGGAUGAACGGCCACAUUGGGACUGAGACACGGCCCAGACUCCUACGGGAGGCAGCAGUGGGGAAUCUUCCGCAAUGGACGAAAGUCUGACGGAGCAACGCCGCGUGAGUGAUGACGGCCUUCGGGUUGUAAAGCUCUGUUAAUCGGGACGAAAGGCCUUCUUGCGAAUAGUUAGAAGGAUUGACGGUACCGGAAUAGAAAGCCACGG
rnacentral:rRNA from 1 species